CCUACGGGAGGCAGCAGUGGGAAUUNUGACAAUGGGGGCACCUGAUCCAGCCAUGCCGCGUGAGUGAAGAAGGCCUUCGGGUUGUAAGCUCUUUCGGCCGGGAAGAAAUCGCAUGGGUGAAUACCCUGUGUGGAUGACGGUACCGGAACAAGAAGCACCGGCUAACUACGUGCCAGCAGCCGCGGUAAUACGUAGGGUGCGAGCGUUAAUCGGAAUUACUGGGCGUAAAGCGUGCGCAGGCGGUUUGGUAAGACAGGCGUGAAAUCCCCGGGCUUAACCUGGGAACUGCGCUUGUGACUGCCAGGCUAGAGUACGGCAGAGGGGGGUGGAAUUCCACGUGUAGCAGUGAAAUGCGUAGAGAUGUGGAGGAACACCAAUGGCGAAGGCAGCCCCCUGGGUCGAUACUGACGCUCAUGCACGAAAGCGUGGGUAGCAAACAGGAUUAGAUACCCUGGUAGUCCACGCCCUAAACGAUGUCAACUAGGUGUUGGGUGGGUAAAACCAUUUAGUACCGUAGCUAACGCGUGAAGUGACCGCCUGGGGAGUACGGCCGCAAGGUUAAAACUCAAAGGANUUGACGG
rnacentral:rRNA from 1 species